rnacentral:misc_RNA from 1 species
UGUGGGAGCGGGCUUGCUCGCGAGGGUAUCACUGCGGUUUGUCUGACAGACCGCGUGAGCCGUAUCGCGAGCAAGCCCGCUCCCACA